GCUUUGGACAGCGGGGCCGCACUGCAACAACCCCACUGGUGGAUCCCUUCCGGCUUCCACCUGGAAGCCUCCCUGGUGCUGAGAGGGUAACGGGGUUUGGGGGGUGAGCUCCUCCUGCCAUGAGGCCAUGGUGACUGCCACCGACGGGGGAGCGCAAGGUGGCUGCUCCCGGCCCCUGCUCGGCCGCCUCUUGGCCGCGGAAAGGGGAGUUCCAGGUUGCAGAUGGCGGCUUCUCCCCGUAGAACCUGCCCGCACCCCCCAAUCCGAGAUAACCCAGGCCGCCCCGGGGCAGCCGACAAGCUCAAGGCCUGCAGCCGAGGUCUGGGAAGUGACUCCAGCCACACUCUGCGCUACACACUCCGCAGUCCCCCUCCUCGUGGAGGCUUCCUGCGGCUGUGGCUUUCCUUAUGUCCAUUUUACAGAUGCGGAAACUGAGGCCUGGAGGGGUCAGGCGGCCUGCCUGCUGUCACUCAGCGAGGCUGGACUAUAGGGCCUGUGCUCCCGUCUCAGAACAGCUCAAGGUGCCCUCCUUUGAAGCCGUGGCGCUCGAGAGCAAAGCCGCUCGCAGCAGACAGAGCUCAGAACUUUUGAAAACAAAAACCAGCACCCACUGAGUGCCUCCCUGAUCCUUUUUAGGGCUCUGGGACCACCAGGUAUCAGGGAUGGACAGGGACCCUUGGGGUGGCGAUCAAACCAGUGUCUAUGAACUCCAGGCCUAAACCCAGCUCCACCACCUCCCAGCCGCAUGACGGUGGAUGCGUCCUGCAUCCCCGGGCUGGGUCUCCUCCUCCAGAGACUUGGGUCACCAUCUCGGCCCCUCUUGGGGCUGGUGUGAGGACUGCCCAGCACCCUGUUUGCCCAGUGGCCAACUGGGUCCCACAGCGAAGGCCUGAGGCACCAGCACCUGACUGGGACCCCCGAAGGCACCAGCGCCUGACUGGGACCCGCGAAGGCACCAGCGCCUGACCGAGACCCCCGAAGGCACCAGCGCCUGACCGAGAGCCCCGAAGGCACCAGCGCCUGUCUGACCCCCGACAGGUGUGUCCUGGGCCUGCUCCCCACCUGGUGUCCCUGAGGAGAAGGGACGCAGCCAGCAAGUUUCUACCAUGGCGCCUGGAACCCCCACCAUCUGUGGGUCCCAGGUGGGCAAGUCACAUCAUCUGCUGUGCUGGAUGCCCGGUCCCCCUUCCUGGGGGACAGCAGGGGGAGCCCGUGAGGACCGGUGGCCAUGAGGCCCCAGCAUUGCCUUGGGCAGCCCCACAGCCCAUGCAGGUGUAACUCAGCUUCCCCAUGGGGCCGGGUCAUCCUCCUGGCUGCGGCUGCCCAGGCCCACCCCUCUCUCUGUGGCCCCGGCUGCCCUGUUGUGGGAAGGGGCAGCGUUAAACAAGCGGCUGCCUACUUGCACCGGCGGGCACAUGGACCCAUCGUGCACUCUCCCCUUGCUGCUGGGACCUCGCUGACCCCUUUCCAUCUUGGCCCCUGGGAAGGAAUGUGGUCCCUCUGCCUCAGCGAAGCCUUUCCCGCUCCCCAGCACGGCGAGCGCCUCACCAUGCAUCUUCUCUCCACAGACGGGGCCCUGCUGGUGUCAUUACGGCCGCUUGCGCGCUCUGCAUCGGCCAUCUGCUCCCGGCUAUAUGCCUGGCACACAGCAGGCACUCAAUAAAUGCUUGCUGCCGGGCGUGGUGGCUCACGCCUGUAAUCCCAGCACUUUGGGAGGCCGAGGCGGGCGGAUCACGAGGUCAGGAGAUCGAGACCAUCCUGGCUAACACGGUGAAACCCCGUCUCUCCUCAAAAUAGAAAAAUUAGCCGGGCAUGGUGGCAGGCACCUGUAGUCCCAGCUACUCGGGAGGCUGA
rnacentral:lncRNA from 1 species